rfam:Schistosoma mansoni, Puerto Rico, WGS project CABG01000000 data, contig: 0115
AUCUAGCCGACAAGUCCCAAAUAGAAUGAAACGCGCGUCCUUGAU